rnacentral:rRNA from 1 species
CGGGGCUUAAAGUCUUGUAAUUGGAAUGAUGGGAAUUUAAACCUCUUCCAGAGUAUCAAUUGGAGGGCAAGUCUGGUGCCAGCAGCCGCGGUAAUUCCAGCUCCAAUAGCGUAUAUUAAAAUUGUUGCAGUUAAAAAGCUCGUAGUUGAAUUUCUGCUGCAUUGCUUGUGUCCCUCUGGGGUCUGUGCAUGUGGCUUUUUUCGGACGGAGUUUCUUUGUCCGAAUGUUUACUUUGAGAAAAUUAGAGUGCUCAAAGCAGGCUUUCGCCUUGAAUAGUUUAGCAUGGAAUAAUAAAGUAGGACUUUGGUUCUAUUUUGUUGGUUUUAGGUACCAAAGUAAUGGUUAAUAGGAACAGUUGGGGGCAUUCGUAUUUAACUGUCAGAGGUGAAAUUCUUAGAUUUGUUAAAGACGAACUACUGCGAAAGCAUUUGCCAAGGAUGUUUUCAUUAAUCAAGAAC